AGAACGAACGCUGGCGGCAGGCUUAACACAUGCAAGUCGAGCGCCCCGCAAGGGGAGCGGCAGACGGGUGAGUAACGCGUGGGAACGUACCCCCCGGUUCGGAAUAACUCAGGGAAACUUGAGCUAAUACCGGAUACGGCUGGAAGGCGAAAGAUUCAUCGCCGGGGGAUCGGCCCGCGUCCGAUUAGCUAGUUGGUGUGGUAACGGCGCACCAAGGCGACGAUCGGUAGCUGGUCUGAGAGGAUGAUCAGCCACAUUGGGACUGAGACACGGCCCAAACUCCUACGGGAGGCAGCAGUGGGGAAUAUUGGACAAUGGGCGCAAGCCUGAUCCAGCCAUGCCGCGUGAGUGAUGAAGGCCUUAGGGUUGUAAAGCUCUUUCACCCACGACGAUAAUGACGGUAGUGGGAGAAGAGCCCCGGCUAACUUCGCGCCAGCAGCCGC
rnacentral:rRNA from 1 species